rnacentral:rRNA from 1 species
AUGAACGCUGGCGGCGUGCUUAACACAUGCAAGUCGGACGAAGCACUUUAUUUGAUUUCCUUCGGGACUGAUUAUUUUGUGACUGAGUGGCGGACGGGUGAGUAACGCGUGGGUAACCUGCCUUGUACAGGGGGAUAACAGUUGGAAACGGCUGCUAAUACCGCAUAAGCGCACAGCAUCGCAUGAUGCAGUGUGAAAAACUCCGGUGGUAUAAGAUGGGCCCGCGUUGGAUUAGCUAGUUGGUGAGGUAACGGCCCACCAAGGCGACGAUCCAUAGCCGACCUGAGAGGGUGACCGGCCACAUUGGGACUGAGACACGGCCCAAACUCCUACGGGAGGCAGCAGUGGGGAAUAUUGCACAAUGGGCGAAAGCCUGAUGCAGCGACGCCGCGUGAGCGAAGAAGUAUUUCGGUAUGUAAAGCUCUAUCAGCAGGGAAGAUAAUGACGGUACCCGACUAAGAAGCACCGGCUAAAUACGUG